UACGUAGGCAGCAAGCGUUGUUCGGAGUUACUGGGCGUAAAGAGUGCGUAGGCGGUUAACUAAGUUUGGUGUGAAAUCUCCCGGCUUAACUGGGAGGGUGCGCCGAAAACUGGCUAGCUCGAGUAUGGGAGAGGAAAGCGGAAUUCCUGGUGUAGCGGUGAAAUGCGUAGAUAUCAGGAGGAACACCUGUGGUGUAGACAGCUUUCUGGACCAUAACUGACGCUGAGGCACGAAAGCGUGGGGAGCAAACAGG
rnacentral:rRNA from 1 species